AUUGAACGCUGGCGGCAGGCUUAACACAUGCAAGUCGAGCGGGGUGAUGGUGCUUGCACUAUCACUUAGCGGCGGACGGGUGAGUAAUGCUUAGGAAUCUGCCUAUUAGUGGGGGACAACAUCUCGAAAGGGAUGCUAAUACCGCAUACGUCCUACGGGAGAAAGCAGGGGAUCACUUGUGACCUUGCGCUAAUAGAUGAGCCUAGUGCGGAUUAGCUAGUUGGUGGGGUAAAGGCCUACCAAGGCGACGAUCUGUAGCGGGUCUGAGAGGAUGGUCCGCCACACUGGGGCUGAGACACGGCCCAGACUCCUACGGGAGGCAGCAGUGGGGAAUAUUGGACAAUGGGGGGAACCCUGAUCCAGCCAUGCCGCGUGUGUGAAGAAGGCCUUAUGGUUGUAAAGCACUUUAAGCGAGGAGGAGGCUCUUUUGGUUAAUACCCAAGAUGAGUGGACGUUACUCGCAGAAUAAGCACCGGCUAACUCUGUGCCAGCAGCCGCGGUAA
rnacentral:rRNA from 1 species